GCUGCCGAGGGGCGGGAGCUCGCUGAGGCGCGGUCGUCUGGUCUCCGCCGGUACCGGGACCGGCGCUUCUGAGUGAGCGGGGUACCGCCGCUGCUGCCGGGGGCCGCGCGGUCCGCCCAGGCCCAGGUGCGGGCCUGCCGUGGAGUAACGAUGUCGUCGCGGCUCAGGGGACGCGCUACGACCGGGAUCAGCUGUUGCCGCCCGUAGGGAGCCUCACCUGCACCGCGGAGGAGCAGAUCCACGAGCUCUUCGGCAAGAUUGGCGGCAUGGGGAAGGCCAUGGUGGGGCUGGAAAAAGCGAACAAAACUGUCUGCAGCUUCUGCUUCGGGGAGUAUAUAAAAGUUGGAUCUUUACUCACUGAAGAUAGUGUUGGAAAUCUUACUGUGUUUCUUGUGUACAGUUAGUCACAACUAUUACUGUAAAUUGCAAAUACAGUGAAGUAGAACAACUGCAAUGAGACUUAAUUAGGAAGUGAGGGUUUGGAUGUGGGGGUUUUGGCACAUACAGUAAAACUAGAUUUUCAGGAUCACUUGGUGCUGAUCUGCAAACAAGACUUUGAACAAAGUUACCUUUUUCUUCAUAGUACAUUUAAUUAUGAGUCUACAGCCUGUAAUUUCUCUAGGAAACCUCUGAAGUUUAUAUUUCAUUGUAAGAAUUUUGUAUGAAGAAUUAUGUUACUCGUAAGCCACUUUCAAAUAAAGCUGCAACAUUAAAAUGGU